rnacentral:rRNA from 1 species
UAAACUUAAAGAAUUUGGCGGUAUUUUAUUCUAUUCAGAGGAAUUUGUCCCUUAAUCGAUAAUCCUCGUUUUAUCUUUCUUGAUUUUGUUUAUCAGUAUGUAUACCGCCGUUAUAGGUUUAUUUUUUUAGAAUUUUUAAUUUACUUUAAAAUUUAUUUAUUUUUAUUUCAGGUCAAGGUGCAGCUAAUAAUUAAGUGGUGAUGAAUUACAAUAUUAUUUUGAAUAAAUGGAUUUUGUUUUUAAAAUUUUGAUGAAGGUGGAUUUGAUAGUAAUUAUAAUUAUAAAGUUAUUUUGAUUUUAGUUCUAAAAUAAGUACACAUCGCCCGUCGCUCUA